rnacentral:rRNA from 1 species
AAUCGUUCAGUAAUCUUUACUUACUCAAAGUUCCCUUGAGUGGGGCUAUAAUCCAUAGAUGGUGCUAGGCCAGUACGAGUAGUAAGGUUAUUGAUAUUGAUUACAUCUUGGAGUCGAGUUGCCUGGGAACGCAGCUCAAAGAAGGUGGUAAACCUCAUCUAAGGCUAAAUAUGACUACGAGACCGAUAGCGAACAAGUACCGUGAGGGAAAGUUGCAAAGAACUUUGAAGAGAGAGUUCAAGAGGGCGUGAAACCGCUGAGAAGGAAGCGGAUAGAGUUGACGAAACACAAUAGCAUUCAUCCAAUCAGUGUAUCAAAUACUGUAUAAUUGUACCUACCACUGGUAACAGUUGUGGGCGGUUAUAUGGCUAUAUUGGUACAUUUAACAAAACUGCCAAAUAUUCCAGAUUGGUGCUUUUGCUAUUGUUAAGCGCUGAGAGUUCCACUAUGAUACGUUUAUUGCUUGUGCAUAAAGAGGACUAUGUUCUUUUUGUUGGAUGUAGAAACCUUUAUGCACAAUUUUGCAUACGUAUUUAUGGUGUGGAAUAGCGCAACAUGUAACAUAUAUUGUCAGUGGUAAACCUCGUAACUAUAUAUUUAUUGAUUAUUUUGGCUAUUCAAUAUUAUGCAUGCAUAUGUUGGAUAGUUGUAAAAAUGGUCAUUUAUAUAUUAUGUUACAUUAUGUGGCAAUAUUAUCUCAGUGUAAAAGUUGACCACCUAUCCGACCCGUCUUGAAACACGGACCAAGGAGUUUAACAUAUGCGCAAGUCAUUGGGUAUUCUACAAAACCCAAAGGCAUAAUGAAAGUAAAGACUACAUUGAGUGUAGUUGAUAUGGGAUCCAUAUAUUUUUUUAAAAAUUGUGAUAAUAUUUGGCGCACCAUAGCCCCGUCUCCGUUGCUUGCAACAGGGCGGAGGUAGAGCGUAUAUGUUGAGACCCGAAAGAUGGUGAACUAUGCCUGAGCAGGAUGAAGCCAGAGGAAACUCUGGUGGAAGUCCGAAGCGGUUCUGACGUGCAAAUCGAUCGUCUGACUUGGGUAUAGGGGCGAAAGACUAAUCGAACUAUCUAGUAGCUGGUUCUCUCUGAAGUUUCCCCCAGGAUAGCUGGUACUUUAAAAUUAUACAGUUAUAUUCGGUAAAGCGAAUGAUUAGAGGUUUUGGGGGUCAAACUGAUCUCAACCUAUUCUCAAACUUUUAAUGAGUAUGAAGUCUCGCUUGCUUAAAAAAUGAAGCCAAUGUAGACAUUGAAUGUGAGUUCCAAGUGGGCCAUUUUUGGUAAGCAGAACUGGCGCUGUGGGAUGAACCAAACGUUAGGUUAAGGUGCCAAACUUCCCGCUCAUGAGACCCCAUGAAAGGCGUUGGUUGAUAUAGACAGCAGGACGGUGGCCAUGGAAGUUGGUAUCCGCUAAGGAGUGUGUAACAACUCACCUGCCGAAUCAACUAGCCCUGAAAAUGGAUGGCGCUUGAGCGGGAGACCUAUACCUAACCGUUGUAGCUUGGGUAAAAUAUUAUCACAAACAUAAAUUCCAAAUUAUAUAUUUAAUAAACACCUGGUUACAACGAGUAAGAGAGUUGCAGUGGUUAGCGUUGAAGGUUUUAGGCGUGAGCCUAGCUGGAGCUUCCACUGGUGCAGAUCUUGGUGGUAGUAGCAAAUAUUCAAGUGAGAUCCUUGAAGACUGAAGUGGAGAAGGGUUCCACGUGAACAGCAGUUGAAUGUGGGUCAGUCGGUCCUAAGAUACUGGCCAAUGCUAUUGAAAAUUUUGAAGACACAAGUGUAUUUGGUAUUCAUAUCUAUACGGGUAUGGAUUCUAAUAUAUUUGAUCUUCAAUAUAUCAAAAGGGAAACAAGUUAAUAUUCUGGUACCUGGACAUGGAGAUAAGCAUCCGUAUUUUAACAAAUACGGAUGUGUAGUGCGGUAACGCAAACGAACUUGGAGAUGUUUAGUAAAGCCCGAGCCAGAGUUCUCUUUUCUGGUUUAGGAACGGAUUCCCUGGAAACGGCUCAGCCGGAGAUAGGGAUAUUGUUUCCGUAAAGCGCCACGGUUCCUGUGGCGUCUCGUGCGCUUUUUACUGAACCCAUGAAAAUCCAAGGGAGACUACUUGAAUUUCAUGCCAGACCGUACCCGAUAUCCGCAGCAGGUCUCCAAGGUAAAAAGCCUCUAGUCAAUAGAAUAAUGUAGGUAAGGGAAGUCGGCAAAUUAGAUCCGUAACUUCGGAAAAAGGAUUGGCUCUAAGAACUAGGUUGAUCGGGCUGUGGCGUGAAGUAGGCUCGGUUUAAACCAUGCAGUACAUUGACCUUUAUAUAUUAUUUGAUAAGUUAUGGAUGUGAUAUGUGAUGGUGAUGUAGUGGCCGACCACUCAUUAUUAUUAUUGUAUCGCUGAAGUAAUUUAUUGCAAUAUAGUGUAUAGGGGUUAUGUUCGGCUAGUGUUUAAGCCGUCUUAUGGACCACUACAGCUAUAGCGCUCAACCUAAUGGUAUAAUGAUACCAAUUGAAAGAAAAGUAUUGUUAAUACCUGAAGGUAUUAAAAAACGAGUGUUUCGAUUAACACUAAAUAGUUAACUUAGAACUGGCACAAUCACGGGGAAUCCGACUGUCUAAUUAAAACAGAGGCGACAGAUGGUCUCUGAAAGACGUUGACUGUCGCUGAUUUCUGCCCAGUGCUCUGAAUGUUAAAAUGAAGAAAUUCAACCAAGCUCGGGUAAACGGCGGGAGUAACUAUGACUCUCUUAAGGUAGCCAAAAGCCUCGUCAUCUAAUUAGUGACGCGCAUGAAUGGAUUAACGAGAUUCCCACUGUCCCUAUCUACUAUCUAGCGAAACCACAGCCAAGGGAACGGUCUUGGUAAAUACAGCGGGGAAAGAAGACCCUGUUGAGCUUGACUCUAGUUCGACUCUGUGAAGACUCAUGAGAGGUGUAGCAUAAGUGGAAGAUUACCUUGUUGUGAUCGACAGUGAAAUACCACUACUUUCAUCGAUUCCUUACUUACUCGGUAAAACGGGAAAUGAAUAUAAUGAUAUAAAAAAUCAUAUAUGUUCUUGAUUCUGGUAUUCAAGUAUAGCCACUCGGUGGCCAUAUGACCCGCGCCGAUGACAGUGUCAGGCGGGGAGUUUGACUGGGGCGGUACAACUGUCAAAUAAUAACGCAGGUGUCCUAAGGUAAGCUCAGAGAGGACAGAAACCUCUCGUAGAGUAAAAGGGCAAAAGCUCACUUGAUCUUGAUUUUCAGUACGAAUACAGACCGCGAAAGCGAGGCCUAUCGAUCCUUUUGAACAUCUAGAAGGUCUCUAGUAAGAGGUGUCAGAAAAGUUACCACAGGGAUAACUGGCUUGUGGCAGCCAAGCGUCCAUAGCGACGUUGCUUUUUGAUCCUUCGAUGUCGGCUCUUCCUAUCAUUUGCGAAGA